GUGCCUCAGUGGGCCCCACCCACAAGCAACCAACUGUCAGUGAGUGACAUUAGUUGUUCUGCUCAGCUAUUGGUCAGCGCUGCAGUGGGUCCUGCCCACAAAUAACUGUCAGUGAGGAACCACUGGGGAGAGACAGAAUAAAAGAAAUCUACUGGUAUCCAUACAUCAUACUUUGUACCUACUGGAAAGAGGAAGAAGAAAGCAAUGACAUAGCUCUCUAUUAUACUAUUCUGGACUAGAAUUUGCUCUGCCAAGGUCUGGAAUCCCAGCAUGCAUCAUAAAAUGGUACUGUGAUAAGACUUGUGAAUAUGCAUUAGAAUUGAUGCUACAUCAAGAUUAAGUUGAUGAUCCUGGAGACAUCUAUUUCCUAGAUGUAAAUCAUUGAAGAUGGAUGGGAAAAUGUUUGUAAAAUUUUAU
rnacentral:lncRNA from 1 species